rnacentral:rRNA from 1 species
GUGGGGAAUAUUGGACAAUGGGCGAAAGCCUGAUCCAGCCAUGCCGCGUGUGUGAAGAAGGUCUUCGGAUUGUAAAGCACUUUAAGUUGGGAGGAAGGGCAGUAAGUUAAUACCUUGCUGUUUUGACGUUACCGACAGAAUAAGCACCGGCUAACUUCGUGCCAGCAGCCGCGGUAAUACGAAGGGUGCAAGCGUUAAUCGGAAUUACUGGGCGUAAAGCGUGCGCAGGCGGUUAUAUAAGACAGAUGUGAAAUCCCCGGGCUCAACCUGGGAACUGCCUCCAAAACUGCAUGACUAGAGUACGGUAGAGGGUAGUGGAAUUUCCUGUGUAGCGGUGAAAUGCGUAGAUAUAGGAAGGAACACCAGUGGCGAAGGCGACUACCUGGACUGAUACUGACACUGAGGUGCGAAAGCGUGGGGAGCAAACAGGAUUAGAAACCCCAGUAGUCC